rnacentral:rRNA from 1 species
ACUCAAAUGAAUUGACGGGGGCCCGCACAAGCGGUGGAGCAUGUGGUUUAAUUCGACGCAACGCGCAGAACCUUACCAGCUCUUGACAUUAUACUUGCGCUUUAUGGAGACAUAAGGCUCACUUCGGGUGGGGUAUAACAGGUGCUGCAUGGCUGUCGUCAGCUCGUGUCGUGAGAUGUUGGGUUAAGUCCCGCAACGAGCGCAACCCUUAUUUCUAGUUACUAACAGGUUAAGCUGAGGACUCUAGAGAAACUGCCGGUGAUAAGCCGGAGGAAGGCAGGGAUGACGUCAAGUCCUCAUGGCCCUUAUGGGCUGGGCUACACACGUGCUACAAUGGCGGUGACAAAGGGGAGCAAAAGAGCAAUCUUGAGCGAAUCCUUAAAAGCCGUCUCAGUUCGGAUUGUCCUCUGCAACUCGAGGGCAUGAAGUUGGAAUCGCUAGUAAUCGUAGAUCAGCAUGCUACGGUGAAUACGUUCCCGGGCCUUGCACACACCGCCCGU